rnacentral:rRNA from 1 species
UACGUAGGGGGCGAGCGUUGUCCGGAUUCAUUGGGCGUAAAGAGCUCGUAGGCGGUUUGGCAAGUCGGGUGUGAAAUCUCUGGGCUCAACUCAGAGAGGCCACUCGAUACUGCUAUGACUAGAGUCCGGUAGGGGACCAUGGAAUUCCUGGUGUAGCGGUGAAAUGCGUAGAUAUCGGGAGGAACACCAGUGGCGAAGGCGGUUCUCUGGGACGGUACUGACGCUGAGACGCGAAAGCGUGGGGAGCGAACAGG